rnacentral:tRNA from 1 species
GCUGGCGUAGCUCAGUGGUAGAGCAGCUGAUUUGUAAUCAGCAGGUCAUCGGUUCAAAUCCGAUCGCCAGCU